rnacentral:rRNA from 1 species
CCUACGGGGGGCAGCAGUAGGGAAUCUUUCACAAUGGACGAAAGCCUGAUGGAGCAACGCCGCGUGCAGGAUGAAGGCCUUCGGGUUGUAAACUGCUUUUAUAAGCGAGAAAUAUGAUGGUAACUUAUGAAUAAGGAUCGGCUAACUACGUUCCAGCAGCCGCGGUCAUACGUAGGAUCCGAGCAUUAUCCGGAGUGACUGGGUGUAAAGAGUUGCGUAGGUGGCAUAAUAAGUAGCUAGUGAAAUCUGGUGGCUCAACCAUUCAGACUAGUAGCUAAACUGUUAAGCUCGAGACCGUUAGGGGUAACUGGAAUUUCUAGUGUAGGAGUGAAAUCCGUAGAUAUUAGAAGGAACACCAAUAGCGUAGGCAGGUUGCUGGGACGGUUCUGACACUAAGGCACGAAAGCGUAGGGAGCAAACGGGAUUAGAUACCCUUGUAGUC